rnacentral:rRNA from 1 species
UACGAAGGGGGCUAGCGUUGUUCGGAAUCAUGACGUGGGCGUAAAGGGCGCGUAGGCGGCUUUAUAAAGUCGGGGGUGAAAGCCUGAUGGCUCAACCACACGAAAUUGCCUUCGAUACUGUAAGAGACUUGAGACCGGAAGAGGUAAGUGGAACUGACGAGUGUAGAGGUGAAAUUCGUAGACUAUUCGCAAGAACACCAGUGGCGAAGGCGGCUUACUGGUCCGGUUCUGACGGCUGAGGCGCGAAAGCGUCGGGGAGCAAACACGG